GAUGAACGCUGGCGGCGUGCCUAAUACAUGCAAGUCGAGCGAACAGAUGAGGAGCUUGCUCCUCUGACGUUAGCGGCGGACGGGUGAGUAACACGUGGAUAACCUACCUAUAAGACUGGGAUAACUUCGGGAAACCGGAGCUAAUACCGGAUAAUAUAUUGAACCGCAUGGUUCAAUAGUGAAAGACGGUUUUGCUGUCACUUAUAGAUGGAUCCGCGCCGCAUUAGCUAGUUGGUAAGGUAACGGCUUACCAAGGCAACGAUGCGUAGCCGACCUGAGAGGGUGAUCGGCCACACUGGAACUGAGACACGGUCCAGACUCCUACGGGAGGCAGCAGUAGGGAAUCUUCCGCAAUGGGCGAAAGCCUGACGGAGCAACGCCGCGGGAGUGAUGAAGGUCUUCGGAUCGUAAAACUCUGUUAUUAGGGAAGAACAAAUGUGUAAGUAACUAUGCACGUCUUGACGGUACCUAAUCAGAAAGCCACGGCUAACUACGUGC
rnacentral:rRNA from 1 species